GAAAGGCCUAGCGCGCGACACACGACGUGGCAGGUGGCGGGUUCGCGUAUCGUAUCGUCAGAGCAUAAUGAAUGUAUUAUAUUAAUAUUAACUGUGGAACCUAGUGUAACUUCUAGAACUAGAUUCAAACUCGAGACUCGUGGAUACCGUUGGACCGUGGGUGUGGCGGGGGCUUGAGGAAAGCCGGCAGGGCGAACUGGAAUGUACUGGUACAGGCGACGAUGCGUCCGCUAAGCUCAAUAGCACUCGUUCGGUUAGAUAAUUCGGUUGUUGUUGUUGUCCGGUUUAGCGAAUUAGCGAACGUCUCUCGUUUCCCCUUGCCAGGUUGCCAACCAACCUGUCACCCUUUUCCAUGUCAGAUCACGUUGCAGCCACGCUAGAAUUCUCGCCCGAAGAAACCAACCAAGGGACAUUCAAACGAACGAUGUUCGAGCAUCAAAUUGAGUUCGGUUUGCUUUUUGCGGCAGUGACCAGGCUUUUCACGCUAGCGGCUCUGUACUAGUACUGUAUUAACUGUCUAAUCCCGUAGCCUAUCUAGCCGAGGAUCGAACGGCCGAAUGACAAUGGCUAGAGCGCAAGUAAAACGGUGUGCGUGUAGUAGAUCCUUCACCGUAGGUGGAAAUCGAAUAAAAGAUGCGAAAGGGCUCCCGAAUAAAGACCGAAUGUGCGAAUGUGUUGUGCAAGACAAUUAAAUGAAUCGUAGAUCCUUCGCCAAGCACCCUCUCCAUACACACACCCACACACACACACACAUACAUGAGAGCACCAGAUGCACCAUGCUAAAACCCAACACAAUAGAAUUGUACGCAAAACGGGUGACGCAAAUAUUGCAGCACAAUGCCAGGAGACCAUUUUGGGGUUGCUAUGAUCGCGAAACCAAGAACUUGCGCUUUUUCGAUUUUUGCAAAAUCGAGCGAAAACCAUUAUCAAUCGAAUCGGAUUGAGCUAUUUCAUCAUGAUUUCAGCUUCAUGAUCCUCCCGGACUUUCCACGAACCCAUUCACAACAUCCUUCCACACACAACAACAAAAAACAUACAUCCUACCCAUAACGUGCGUGUGUGUAUGUGUGUGUGUGGGUCUGUGUGUGGUAGCCAGUCAGCCAGAUCAGUCUCGCUAGGUAAGUCAGGUUUAGAAUUGAUUGGUAUCGUAGAUCGUAAGAAUCAACAUGCACAUGCAUGCAUGCGCCCGGACAAGGGGCCCGGCUGCAGCAUAAUAAUAAACUAGGCAACAAAAAAGAAAACAAACAAACCCGAGCGUAGAUAGAAUGUUUUAACCGGUAGUAAAAUUGUAAUACCAGCAGCAGAAAAGCAAAACAGAGAAGAAUGAAUCAAGAUCAAGGGGAAAUAGCAAAGCAAAAAAAAAAAGGAAUCCAAUGCAAAUGAAAGAAUAGAAAAGGAGCGAAAAGAGAGGGGAUAGAGGGGAGGGGGGGGGGAUUAACAAAUUUCCAUCACCACCACAGCUCACAAUCUCGAUGGUAGACAGCAUAAGCAAAACAGCGAAAACCGAAACCGAAACCACUAAUGAAACAAAAAAGGCUAAUAGCGCUGGCCGAUAAUUGAUAAUGAUCCCUCACAAUCCCUCACGUCCUCAACCCGUGGAACAGUGGAACUGCUCCAUACACCGCAACCCUUCCCAGUCCCCCCCCCCUCCCAAAACGGUGAAAAAUUCCCAUAACUUGUCGCAAAAGUUUUGUACCGAAGCAGCGAGCAAGUAAGAGGAUGUGAGAUAAGUGAGCAUUCAGACGGCAAGAAAUGUAGCACACCAACCAACCAACCAUCCAAGCAACCUAACCUAGAACAUUAAGUUCCCAACGCAACCAACCAAGCAACCAACCAGCCAGCAAGGCAGCGCAACCUAUUAUCGGUCGGUAAUGGCGCACGAGUAAAACGAAUUUACCUAUGACCGGCAUGUGACAUGCUUACCUACUCUAUUCGGUUACCGGAACCGUGGCCCUGCUCUAGUGUUAACCAUUACUACCACCAUCCACUAGUUCCUCCUUAUCCCGUUUGAAACAUCUCAUGCUACGGAGCCACUUUGAUGAGAGAAGAACCUUCAAACCGUCAUUGAAGCUCCUUGCAAAAAGGAGAACGAUCGCGCACGGUGUGCCGAUCAUUUGCUUGCCACUCCAUCGGUGCACGGUCCCCCUUCUAACCUCUUGUCUCUUCGUUCAUCCUCGUGACAGUGUGUGUAUGUGCAUGUGCGUGUGUUUGAACCGCGUUUGCGUCGUCGUCCUCUUUUCAAAAGAUAUUUCCUCUUCCGAUCGCGUUGCGUUCUGCGUUAUCAUCUGCGGAUGAACAUUUUGUAAAUAGUAAUUUUAAUAAUAACGCCUGACCUGCCCACAAAAGCAUCAUACCUAACUCCCCUACCCCUUUACCCUUUCACUUGCACUCACUCUUCUCCUCUCCCUCACCCCCUCCCCCCUCUUUUCUCUUUCAUCCCCUUUCAUCGAUCCUUCUGCUCUCCUCCUGCCCAUUUCGGAAUCGGAAGGCAUGCCAUUCGCUGGAAAGCAACAAAAAACCUUCAUGUACAUAUUCUGUUUUGAAUAGACCAAUGAAAUGAAUAUAUAAAUAAAUAUAUAUUAUAUACAUUGACAGAUUCUUAGGAUAAAAGUGAACGCGGUGUGUAUCGAAGUUGAAAGGGAUAA